AAUGUUGAAAUUCUAAUAGUGAAAAUAAAAUGUAAAAAAAAAAAAAAAUCGUCCUCACCUCCAUGGAUCUCUGUUCCCCUCUCCCUCUCAGCCUCCCUCUUCAUCCCCGGACCCAAACCCUAACCCAAGCCCCACCACCACCGACCUCUGUCGGAAUUUAAUAGUAAUUGAGUUCAAUCGAUCAACUUUAAUGGAGAGGUUUGGGUGGCUCAGCGUGGUUUCAGAAUUUAUUUGAUCAGGUGCAGGAAUUUUGCAGUUUGAUAUGGAGACUAAUAACGUGGAUGGGGGAAAAACUAUUGAGGUCCCUCUAUAGAAAAUUAUUUAGGGAGAAAGGAGAACACAAUUCGUGUUUCAGCUCACUUUCUAAAGUCAGUGAAUGCAACGAUACAAUGUUCUGAUUGCAUCGAUUCAAUGUUUGUGAUUGCCUGAUACAGUUUUUUGUUACACUGGAUGGAAAUGAGUUGAGUACCAAAUACGUAAUCCAUGAUAUCUCUGUAUCUGAUGAAUCUGUGGUCAUCAAUUAUAUGGAAUUCAGCCAAGAGCCAGUUUGCAUAGAAGGCGAAUGCCGCCAUUACUACGAG